rnacentral:rRNA from 1 species
GACGAACGCUGGCGGCGUGCUUAACACAUGCAAGUCGAACGGUGAAGCGCCUUCCUUUUUGGUGGGUGUGGAUGAGUGGCGAACGGGUGCGUAACACGUGAGUAACCUGCCCCCUUCUUCUGGAUAACCGCAUGAAAGCGUGGCCAAUACGGGAUAUCCUGCGUCUGUCGCAUGAUGGGUCUGGGUCAGAUAUUGUUUAGGUGGGGGAUGGGCUCGCGGCCUAUCAGCUUGUUGGUGCGGUGAUGGCCUACCAGGGCGGUGACGGGUAGCCGGCCUGGGAGGGUAGACGGCCUGACAGGGACUGAGGCACGGUCGGGACUGAUACAGGGGGCAGCAUCGUACGGGAGUGAACAGUGGGGACAAGUGUAGUACGGCGGCGCCCCGGAUGGAGUAAAGCCCCUCGGGUGGUGAAGCCCUUCCGGCAGUGAAGCGGUCUCGCCUGGGAUGUAGCUUGAUUGACGGUAACUGGUAAAGAAGCACCGGCUAACUACGUG